CUCUCUCUAACCGUGUGGCUUCUUCGUCUACCCUCAUCUGCACGCUUAAUUUGACUUGACCCUCUCUCUCUCUCUCUCUCUAACAUUUUUUCUUCUUCAUCUGGUUUUUGCUACUAAUUUUCUGUUCCCAUUUACUUUCUCUCAAAAAUGGCUCCUCUUUCUCUUCUUUCUUUCUCCUUUUCCUUCCUCUUCUUCUCCUUCUUCUCCCCUUCUCUCUGCACCAAUUCUGAAGGGAAUGCUUUGCAUGCUUUGAGAAGCAGGUUCUCUGAUCCAACCAAUGUGUUGCAGAGCUG
rnacentral:misc_RNA from 1 species